GACGAACGCUGGCGGCGUGCUUAACACAUGCAAGUCGAACGAAGUGGCGAACGGGUGAGUAACGCGUAAUCCACCUGCCCUUCAGAGGGGGACAACAGUUGGCAACGACUGCUAAUACCGCAUACUGAAGGAGGGGAUUGCGUCUGCUUGGCUAGGUGGAGGGGGACCGGCCCACCACGGCGAUGAUCAGUAGCCGGGCGGAGAGGAGGAACGGCCACAGUGGGACGGAGACACGGCCCAGACUCCUACGGGAGGCAGCAGUGGGGAAGCUUCCGAAAUGGACGAAAGUCUGACGGAGCAACGCCGCGUGAGUGAUGACGGCCUUCGGGUGGUAAAGCUCUGUUAAUCGGGACGCGGUACCGGAAUAGAAAGCCACGGCUAACUACGUGCCAGCAGCCGCGGUAAUUC
rnacentral:rRNA from 1 species